GGAUGCCGGCACCAUCUUUGCGGCACGGCCGUGCACGGCUCUCUACAGCUUCAUCUGGCACCUGUAGAGGCAGAGGCCAGCACUGCUGCGUCCGCUGGCUGCACUGUGGCCCUGUUGGGGCUGCACACUCUUAUUUGUGACACUGCCCUUCUUCUAGGAAUCAGACCACAGAGAAGCUGGACCAUGGUGGUACAGGGCAGGAUGCUGUGAAGGAGAGCAGAAGCUAACGAUGCCCUGUGCAGCUCCCCUGGCAGCAGUAAGUGAGAAGAAUGGACAUUAUUGGAACAAGGGGAAAUCAAGUCCUAUAGCUCAUUCGUGGACCUGGACACAAGAGGUGGACUGUGACAUGCCUACACUGGCUGGACAAUCAUCUCCCAAACAAGGCAGGUCUUUGCCAAUGAAGAUGAAAGGAACGUCACUCAGAAGAUGUUUACUUUUCCUUGUGAUUAAGACCUUUUUAUCAGAACCCUAGUACUUAGGUGAGGAGUCAGAGAUUAAAUCAGGGACUUAAUUGGUAACAUGACAUGCUGAAAUUCACCUAUCAGCUGGACAUUACCAUCUUGCAGCAAGUUUUAAAGAUGUGAGAAUAAGUUUGAAUUCUGUAACAACAUGACUAUUCUUGAAGCUUUGGGUCGUAGAUUUUAAUUUUGGCUGAUUGUUCCUUGGAUAUUCCAAGUCUGUGUAUUAUUUGAGCAAAGCACAUGAUCUCUUUCUGUUGAGGACAGUAGGGCUAGCCUGAGGUACUAUGAAUCCUGGCCUUGGUGGUGAAGGUGGCUUA